rnacentral:rRNA from 1 species
AUGGCCAUCCAGCAUCUGCUCCUCAUCGUAUUCAUGGCUUCCAUCCUCCAAGCGGCCGCCUCCGACACAGCAUACGACCUGUUGGCGAAAAACAACUUCAUGCGGGCUCUCUUGCCUCUGGGCGUGAAGUCGUACGUGAACCAUGAUGGGGGUGCCGUUGAGGUGACCCUCCCCGCCUCGUGCGACUUCAACGUUACAGUUGCCAGUGGAUCACACAAGAUUCGGUUUGACAGCAUAGUCAGUGGGGUUAUCCAGCCCGGAUCCAUUACUCAAUUGGGGCGGCGUCAAGAUCCAGUUUGA